rnacentral:rRNA from 1 species
GAUGAACGCUAGCGGCAGGCUUAACACAUGCAAGUCGAGGGGUAGAAGUUGCUUGCAACUUUGAGACCGGCGCACGGGUGCGUAACGCGUAUGCAAUCUACCUUAUACAGAGGGAUAGCCCAGAGAAAUUUGGAUUAAUACCUCAUAGUAUAAUUGAAUGGCAUCAUUUAAUUAUUAAAGUUCCAACGGUAUAAGAUGAGCAUGCGCCCUAUUAGCUAGAUGGUAAGGUAACGGCUUACCAUGGCAACGAUAGGUAGAGGUCCUGAGAGGGAGAUCCCCCACGCUGGUACUGAGACACGGAACAGACUCCUACGGGAGGCAGCAGUGAGGAAUAUUGGACAAUGGGCGCAAGCCUGAUCCAGCCAUGCCGCGGGCAGGAAGAAGCAUCUAUGGGGUGUAAACUGCUUUUGUACGGGAAGAAACACCCCUUCGUGAAGGGACUUGACGGUACCGUAAGAAUAAGGAUCGGCUAACUCCGUGCCAGCCGCCCGCCGUAACAC